rnacentral:lncRNA from 1 species
GCAGCAGUCAGGGGCUUGCUACUCUUCGCAGCCCUGUUUCUUUUCUUGUGAUGAGAAGAAACAAGCCCAGGCUGACAGCUGGCCAAGACUUGAACUAGAAUGUUGAAGUUGAAAAGUCAAAAUGGGUCUGUGUCAAAGGACUAGCAGAGGGGAAGGGACUGUCCUCCGGGGAGCUGAGGAGUGAGGAUGGUCCUCACCUCGAUCCAGCGAUCAAAUUCCCCAAGUAAAUCCAUGUAAAACAUGAACUGUGGCCAGCACUUGUUAAGCAAGGAAUAUUAAAAAUCAUUGUCAUUACUGCUGCUAUUAUUGUUACAGGCUUGUUCCAAGACUCUGGGUUUUGGCUCAGCUUGUCUAAAUGGUCUUCCAUCUUAAGGAAUCAAGGGGUAGAUUUUGGAACCACUAGCUCCAUAGCCAAAGAAGGAGCAAUCCAGCAACUUAGGCAUUGAUUCCGCAAGCCGUCCCAGAGCCUCUGUGUAGUCCUUACUUUCCCUAAAUUGCCAUGACUAGCUGGCUCAAGUUAGGCCUUUCUAAUUUACCUGGACCGUUGCUGUCUCCUGUGCACGGCUGCGGGGAUGAGCACCUUGUUGUGCGUUCCUCCGCUGGGCUGACGGAAAUGGUUUGCAGCCAGACUGCUACGCCACGCGGUCUGGCAUUUAGUCCUCAGAAAUCUGAUUUAGAGAACGUAUACAUUGCAUCACAAUCUAGAUUUCAGAGGAAAGUUUUGGAUAGAAUAACCCAGACCCAAGUCUGGGUAAUUUAAAGCCUGGGUGAAAUGGGGCAGAAAGAGCCCAGAAUAUACAGGUCUGAAUCUUGGCUGGGGUGAUGUGGAAGACUGGAGGCGCCAGACGGCUGGCCUCCCUCCAAGUGUUUACCAUGCUGGUGCCAUGGGGCUGGGGCUGGGCAGUCCAUGUGCUCAUUCUUCCCUUCUCUUCUCCUCCUCCUCCCCCUCCAUCUCUCCUCCUCCUCCUCAUGUUUUCUAUAGGCUAGAGAAACUCAGGAACUACUGACCCACAGGGAAGGCAAGCGGAGAUAUGAGACGGAGGAAUCAAACGCUGCCCUGGUGGAGGACGCUGUGGGUUUACAGUGGAUGAUUUCCUCUGCCUAUGAGAUAAAAGGGCUGGCUCUGUACUUUGAACCCCAGCCUCACCCACCUCUGCCUGGGUGUGGCUCUUACUCUCUGGAAGACUUACUCAGGGGAGAGGACAGGACAGUGUGAGGCUUGAAUCUCCAGGAAAUAGAGUCUGUGGGCAGCCAUUGACUCCGAGUCAAUGAGAACAAGGUGUGCUGUUUCCUCUGUGCUGUUUCUUCCCUGCCCCACUCCCCGCCCCUUUGUCCUAUGGUGCCCAGGCUGCCUGCACUGCCCAGAUACCACAGGCCUUGCCAGGGACCUCCUGAGAGGUUUCUGAGGCUUGCAGCCAGUGGUCCCGUUAGUCUGCACGUCUCCGAGUUGCCCUCCCAGAGGAGAAAGCAUAUGCUGCUGGGACCGACUGCAGCUCCUCAUGGAUGCACCUGCCACCAGAAAAUUGUUGUUCAGUCUGGGAUUGCUUUCUCUUCCCAAAGCACAAUCUCACAUGCAGUCAUGAGCCCAGUCCAGCCUCUGGGACAGAAGAUUUCGUGCUUUUAUAAACCAACAGCACUGCAGGUGCUGCACAAGAGAACCAAAACAAUUUAAAGAGAUGACGGAGGAACUGCUUUUAACAGUCUUUGAACAAGUUGCCGAAGAAUCAAUAUCCACAGAUCAGAAGGAAAAUUGUUACCUCACAUUUCAAAGGUAGAUUCUGGAAAUUACAGGCUGAUAAUCUUCACAUUAGCUACCAGCAAAUUUCUGGAACAGAUUAUCAAACAGUUUGUUAAAAUAUGUGAAAAGGGGAGACAUGAUUAUUAUGUUCUAAUAUGCAUUCACCAAAAAUAAAUGAUCACAAAUUAA